CCUACGGGAGGCAGCAGUGGGGGAUAUUGCACAAUGGGGGAAACCCUGAUGCAGCGACGCCGCGUGGGUGAAGGAGUGCUUCGGCAUGUAAAGCUCUAUCGGCUGGGAAGAAGCAAGACGGUACCUGACUAAGAAGCCCCGGCUAACUCCGUGCCAGCAGCCGCGGUAAUACGUAGGGGGCGAGCGUUAUCCGGAUGCACGGGGUGUAAAGGGAGCGUAGACGGGCAUGCAAGCCAGGGGUGAAAGCCCGGGGCCCAACCGCGGGACUGCCCUUGAAACUGCAUGGCUUGAGUGCGGGAGGGGAAGGCGGAAGGCAUGGUGUAGCGGUGAAAUGCGUAGAUAUCAGGAAGAACGCCGGCGGCGAAGGCGGGCUGCGGGACUGCGACUGACGUUGAGGCUCGAAAGCGUGGGGAGCGAACAGGAUUAGAUACCCGAGUAGUC
rnacentral:rRNA from 1 species